rnacentral:lncRNA from 1 species
UUUUCCCUCCUGCCACAGUCCAGGGUAGGAGAUACUUCUCCAGGCUCUCACUUAUGGGGGCUUUCCUGCUGGCUACAUCACUGAAAUGGAAUCUCCUAGUGGCCCUUCUCCCUCUACAGCUCUGGUGUUACACUGAAAAACUAGAAGUUUCAAAACAGACAAGGGAAAAAGAGAAACAUCAGAAAGUCUGAUUAAAGUAGAAGCAUCAUAUUUCUAUCAACGUAUCCACUGUGCUUGGACACAAUUGCAGGCCCUUGACAUCUUUUGCCUGGAUUAUUGCAACAGCCUCCAAAAGGACUCGUCUGUCUCCAUGAUACCCCUCCAUCCUCCUCUGCAUCAUCACCAAGGGAAUCUUUGUAAAGCAAAGGCAUGAUCAUGCUUAUCACCUGGUGGAAACCCUUCAGAGACUCUCCACUCCCCAGAGCAGGCACCACAUCGUUAGAGUCUACAGAAGGCAGGAGGAAACAGAAAUGAGUGCCGGGUCCAUAGGAAUGUGUUGAGGACAGUACAAGCAACAAGAAUUGGGGAACAAGAACGCCUUUGACUUCAUCUCUCAGCUGUUACAAACUCUCCCCUAUUGACGGUUCAAAUUUCCAAGAGAGACUCUGAUCAUCCAGUGAAAUCACCCAGGCUCCAGUGGGGCAGUGGACCACACAAGCUCUCCCCAGCUGCCUGCCAGACUUCCAUUGGCUGCUUGUAGGCAGAGGCCCUUCUUUGCUCCAAUGAGGACAGGUGCAUCUGCCAGAAAACAUGGCACCUUCUAUGGAUAGAAACUCUAUCUUAGUCGGUUUGGGCUGCUAUGACAAAAUAUCAUAAACUGAGAGGCUUAUAAACAACAAAUAUUUAUUUCUCUCAGUUUUGGAAGCCGGGAAACCUAAAAUCAAGGUGCUGGCAGAUUCAGUGUCUGGUGAGAGCCCUUUCCUCAUAGAUGGCACCUUCUAUACAUCCUCACAUGGCAGAAGAGGCAAAGAUAGUCCCUUGGUCCUUUUUUUUUAAUAUAAAGAUACUAAUCUCAUUUAUGAAGACUCUGUCCUUGUGACCUAAUCACUUCUAAAAGGCCCCAUCUGCUAAUACCAUCACAUUGGGGAUUAGGAGUUCAACAUAUGAAUUUUAACCAGGGGAGGACACAAACAUUUAUAUCAUAAUAAUCUCUAGGAAGGUCUUUGACUGGCAAGUGUUACGCAGCCUGGGUGGUGUAGGACUUAGGGCCAAGAUUAGGUAAGCUGAGUGAGGGGUCUUGGGUGCAGAGUUUAAGGAGGGGUCCUCUUAGAGUCAUGUAGGUGCCUCAUUUGCCUCAUCCUAAUUUCACCCCUAACGGCUAAUUUCGUGCAUGACUUGAAGGCAGUCACUGUCUCUCUGACCAUUAGUUUCUUAACCUGUAAAAUGAAGUGGUCAGAAGACUAUAAGUCCUGUUAGGUUCUCUGGGUUUGAAACUGCUGCAUUGUUCCAUAGCUCCUGAGACACAGCUCACCCUCUCCAACCUACCCACUGGACUUUUCCCCCUUUGUCUUAGGGGGGCUGCUCAUCUGUGUAGUUAGUUUCCCCAGUCAUGCCUGGCUUCACUGUCAAGGGCUCAGUUCACAAGCCACUUAGCAAAGGCAGUCAUGAAAGAACAACAUAGCGUCUGUUCUGGGCCUUCGCGGAGGACGUGCUCACAUUCCUCCCCUCAAAGCAAAAUUGAUCGGCCAUGACCUGGGGCCGCACCAAAGAGAAGGAAUCGCUGGGGGCCGGGGUGCCAUUCGGUGCCCAGAUGAGGUCAGUCACCACAUGGUCCUCAGUAGCCUCGAGGAAUGAGAGAUAUUUGACUCCCCUAUUAAUCACCUGGAAGAGUUAUGAAUAUCUUGGGUCAAAGUGACAGUUUGCCUCUUGACAGGAAAGAGGCCUAAGUUCUGACUCCCACUUAGAAAAAGUUCAUGUAGUUUUGUUCCUCCAAGAUAGAAACAGAGGACCAUAGAUAUGGGGAAGGGGAGAAAUUGAGAAGGAGCGAGAAGGCGAGAGGGUGUUGUUUAUCCAGUUCAAUCUCAGAUCCCACACUUGAGCCUAAGCUCAAAGGGUUCAGUCAGUCAUCCUGAAUAUGGAGACUUCUCCAAGGGGAGCUCUUUUGAUUGUUGGGUAACAAAAAUUAUUAGAAAUAUUUUAUUUUUAUGUAUUAUAUCUAUAAAUAUAAAUCUAUAUAAAUACAGAUGUGAUAUAUAAUAUAAAUAUGUUAGUCAGUGUGAAUGAGGAACAGGUCAAUUUCUCCUCCAAAUAGUUGCCCUUAAAAUCUUUGAAGACAUUAUCAUAUUCCUCCUGAAUUUCUUAUUCCCCAUACCAAAAAAAAAAAAAAUCCCACAAGGUCAGGAGCUUGAGACCAGCCUGGCCAACAUGGU